rnacentral:rRNA from 1 species
ACUCCUGCGGGAGGCAGCAGUGGGGAAUAUUGGACAAUGGGCGCAAGCCUGAUCCAGCCAUGCCGCGUGAGUGAUGAAGGCCCUAGGGUUGUAAAGCUCUUUCACCGGUGAAGAUAAUGACGGUAACCGGAGAAGAAGCCCCGGCUAACUUCGUGCCAGCAGCCGCGGUAAUACGAAGGGGGCUAGCGUUGUUCGGAUUUACUGGGCGUAAAGCGCACGUAGGCGGACUAUUAAGUCAGGGGUGAAAUCCCGGGGCUCAACCCCGGAACUGCCUUUGAUACUGGUAGUCUUGAGUUCGAGAGAGGUGAGUGGAAUUCCGAGUGUAGAGGUGAAAUUCGUAGAUAUUCGGAGGAACACCAGUGGCGAAGGCGGCUCACUGGCUCGAUACUGACGCUGAGGUGCGAAAGCGUGGGGAGCAAACAGGAUUAGAUACCCCUGUAGUCCCAUGA